GUCACGGUGGUCUAGCGGUUAGAACGCUGGCCUUGUAAUCCUGAGGUCUCGGGUUCGAUUCCCGGCGGUGCCC
rfam:Zootermopsis nevadensis contig16824, whole genome shotgun sequence.